rnacentral:rRNA from 1 species
CAGUCGCCACGGUAAUACGAAGGGUGCAAACGUUAAUCGGAAUUACUGGGCGUAAAGCGUGCGUAGGCGGUGAGUUAAGUCUGCUGUGAAAUCCCCGGGCUCAACCUGGGAAUGGCAGUGGAUACUGGCUCGCUAGAGUGUGUCAGAGGAUGGUGGAAUUCCCGGUGUAGCGGUGAAAUGCGUAGAGAUCGGAAGGAACAUCUGUGGCGAAGGCGACUAUCUGGGCCAACACUGACACUGAGGCACGAAAGCGUGGGGAGCAAACAGGAUUAGAUACCCCAGUAGUCCCUGUCUCUUAUAC